GAUGAACGCUGGCGGCGUGCCUAAUACAUGCAAGUCGAGCGAACGGACGAGAAGUUUGCUUCUCGGAUGUUAGCGGCGGACGUGUGAGUAACACGUGGAUAACCUACCUAUAAGACGGGGAUAACUUCGGGAAACCGUAGCUAAUACCGGAUAAUCUGUGGAACCGCAUGGUUCAAAAGUGAAAGACGGUCUUGCUGUCACUUAUAGAUGGAUCCGCGCUGCAUUAGCUAGUUGGUAAGGUAACGGCUUACCAAGGCAACGAUGCAUAGCCGACCUGAGAGGGUGAUAGGCCACCCUGGAACUGAGACACGGUCCAGACUCCUACGGGAGGCAGCAGUAGGGAAUCUGACGCAAUGGGCGAAAGCCUGACGGAGCAACGCCGCGUGAGUGAUGAAGGUCUUCGGAUCGUAAAACUCUGUUAUUAGGGAAGAACAUAUGUGUAAGUAACUGUGCACAUCUUGACGGUACCUACUCAGAAAGCCACGGCUAACUACGUG
rnacentral:rRNA from 1 species